GACGAACGCUGGCGGCGUGCUUAACACAUGCAAGUCGAACGGAAAGGCCCUGCUUUUGUGGGGUGCUCGAGUGGCGAACGGGUGAGUAACACGUGAGUAACCUGCCCUUGACUUUGGGAUAACUACAGGAAACUGGGGCUAAUACCGGAUAGGAGCUCCUGCUGCAUGGUGGGGGUUGGAAAGUUUCGGCGGUUGGGGAUGGACUCGCGGCUUAUCAGCUUGUUGGUGGGGUAGUGGCUUACCAAGGCUUUGACGGGUAGCCGGCCUGAGAGGGUGACCGGCCACAUUGGGACUGAGAUACGGCCCAGACUCCUACGGGAGGCAGCAGUGGGGAAUAUUGCACAAUGGGCGGAAGCCUGAUGCAGCAACGCCGCGUGCGGGAUGACGGCCUUCGGGUUGUAAACCGCUUUCGCCUGUGACGAAGCGUGAGUGACGGUAACGGGUAAAGAAGCACCGGCUAACUACGUG
rnacentral:rRNA from 1 species